rnacentral:rRNA from 1 species
AAACAUGUCUUUUUGUGUUUAAUUUAAAGUCUAACCUGCCCACUGAAUAAUUUUAAAUGGCCGCAGUAUUUUGACUGUGCAAAGGUAGCAUAAUCAUUAGUCUUUUAAUUGAAGGCUGGUAUGAAUGGUUGGACGAGGUAUAAGCUGUUUCAUAUGAAUUUAUUAUAGAAUUUUAUAUUUUAGUUAAAAAGCUAAAAUAUAAUUAAAAGACGAGAAGACCCUAUAAAUCUUUAUAUUUAAUAUUAUUUAAAUUUUUUAGAUAAGGUUUAUUUUUAUAAUAUUAAUUAUUUUGUUGGGGUGAUAUUAAAAUUUAAUAAACUUUUAAUUAUUUAAAAUCAUUAAUUUAUGAUUUAUUGAUCCAUUAAUAUUGAUUAUAAGAUUAAGUUACUUUAGGGAUAACAGCGUAAUUUUUUUUGAGAGUUCUUAUCGACAAAAAAGUUUGCGACCUCGAUGUUGGAUUAAGGUAUAAUUUUGGGUGUAGCUGUUCAAAUAUUAAGUCUGUUCGACUUUUAAAUCCUUACAUGAUC